rnacentral:rRNA from 1 species
UACGGAGGGAGCUAGCGUUGUUCGGAUAUACUGGGCGUAAAGCGCACGUAGGCGGCGCCGUAAGUCAGGGGUGAAAUCCCGGAGCUCAACUCCGGAACUGCCCUUGAAACUGCAGUGCUAGAAUCUUGGAGAGGCGGGUGGAAUUCCGAGUGUAGAGGUGAAAUCCGUAGAUAUUAGGAGGAACACCGAUGGCGUAGGCAGAUAACUGGCUCGUUCCUGACACUAAGGCACGAAAGCCAGGGGAGCAAACGGG